rnacentral:rRNA from 1 species
CUGGGAGGACCAUCUCCUAAGGCUAAAUACUCUCUAGUGACCGAUAGUGAACCAGUACCGUGAGGGAAAGGUGAAAAGCACCCCGGAAGGGGAGUGAAAUAGAACCUGAAACCGUGUGCUUACAAGUAGUCAGAGCCCGUUAAUGGGUGAUGGCGUGCCUUUUGUAGAAUGAACCGGCGAGUUACGAUUUGAUGCAAGGUUAAGCAGUAAAUGUGGAGCCGUAGCGAAAGCGAGUCUGAAUAGGGCGUUUAGUAUUUGGUCGUAGACCCGAAACCAGGUGAUCUACCCUUGGUCAGGUUGAAGUUCAGGUAACACUGAAUGGAGGACCGAACCGACUUACGUUGAAAAGUG